rnacentral:ncRNA from 2 species
GGGCUGAAGUGGGGGUGCUCGGCAUGAGGCCGGGCUGAGAAAGGGCGGUGCCCUUACCCUUCGAACCUGACGUGGGUAAUCCCACCGUAGGGAACUUCGGCCGGAGUAUG